rnacentral:rRNA from 1 species
AGGGAUAAUCUCGGGAAACUGAGGGUAAUACCCCAUAGGUCUAUUUUGCUGGAUUGCUAAUAGGCCGAAAACUCCGGUGCCUUAGGAUUGGUCUGCGGUCUAUCAGGCAGUAGUGGGUGUAAUGGACCCACUAGCCCGUGACGGAUAUGGGCCUUGAGAGAGGGAGCCCAGAGAUGGACUCUGAGACAUGAGUCCAGGCCCUACGGGGCGCAGCAGUCGCGAAAACUUCGCAAUGGGGGCAACCCCGACGAGGGAAUUCCAAGUGCUAGCACUUUGUGUUAGCUGUUCUUCUGUCUAAAAAACAGGAGGAGUAAGGGGCGGGUAAGACGGGUGCCAGCCGCCGCGGUAAUACCCGCGCCCCAAGUGGUGGUCGAUAUUAUUGAGCCUAAAACGUCCGUAGCCGGUCUUCUAAAUCCUUGGGUAAAUCGGGCAGCUUAACUGUCCGAAGUCCGGGGAGACUGGGAGACUUGGGACCGGGAGAGGUCAGAGGUACUUCUGGGGUAGGGGUAAAAUCCUGUAAUCCUGGAAGGACCACCGGUGGCGAAGGCGUCUGACUAGAACGGAUCCGACGGUGAGGGACGAAGCCCUGGGGCGCAAACGGGAUUAGAUACCCCGGUAGUCCAGGGUGUAAACGCUGCGGGCUUGGUGUUGGGGGUCCUUAGUGGGCGCCCAGUGCCGGAGAGAAGUUGUUAAGCCUGCUGCUUGGGGAGUA